rnacentral:tRNA from 2 species
GCGUCCGUCAUCAAAAAUUGGCGGAAAUGCGUGACAUCUGACGCCUUCCAAGCUUGUGAUGCGGGUUCGAUCCCCGCUACCCGCUCCA